AUGUUCCUUUUCCUUUUAGAAUCCAUGGAAACUGAGUGUAAAAAGGCUAAAGACCAAGGAAGAAAAGGUAAAGCAGAGAGGGGGAAAUCCCAGAAAGCCUCCAAGGGCAAAAACUACUCUUCAAAGUCAAAAAGCUAUUGCGCCACACCAGAAAAACCACCUUUGUGCUAUUGUCAAUUUCCUGAUAGCAGAGCAUUUGAACCAAUUGAUGUCAGCUUCAUAGUUUACAAUGCAGAUGCAUCAGAACUGUCACAGUCACAUCUGGAUGAUGUCAUGGAGGUCACUGAAUCAUACGAGGAAUUGGUAGAUAAUCCAAGCUCCUGGAGGAAGGCUGCUAGUAAACCUGUAAGUGAAAACAUAGAGGAGAUGAGGCGCAUGGUGCCAGAAACAAAACCUCUGAGUCCGAAUGAAAGUGAUGAUGUUGUCAUUGAGGAAUGUAUUUCAGAUGAGUCUCAGUCCCUGAUAACAAGCGUAUCUUCUGAUCCCGCUGCUCAGAAGGAUGACCAGCAACCCCCUAAAAUCAGCUUCCUACCAACAGAACUAACCCAAAGUGAUAUGGAGAUAUUUUCCCUGUGGAACGGUAAUUAACCAUUUCUAUUAGGGUUUUUUUUUUUUUGUAAUUUAGAGACAAAUCCCAGCCUUAAACAUUUUACAAUGGAAAUGUUCUUAGGAACAAGUGGAUGGUGCUUGUACAUCAUGGCAACCAAAGAGCAUGGCCUGCUGGAAAUUAAACUAGAGUUGGCAUAACCCAGAUACAGUUUGGCAGAAGUUGAUCUCUAGGACUAAAGCUGUACGCAAGCAGAUAGUUCCAGACAGCAAAGUCAAAUACAUGUAAUGCACGCAUACACACUGAAUUGUACUCACCUUCAGGGAGACAUUGAUAUAUUAUAAAGCUGUAGAAUAUGUAUUCACAUUCCGCCAGUAAACUCAUGACAGAAUUUGUGGAAUAGGUAGGUUCAGCAGCUUAAGAGAACAACAGGAAAUGAUACUUUGUUUGCUAUUUCAAUGUUGAACUUGAUUUUUAAAUUCAUAAUACAGACACACCCCUGUUUUUAAAAGGCUCUUUUUACACCUGUCCAGCCCAGCUUUCUGUUUUUUCCUCUUGUCUAACUAGGUGGACUUUUGUAGCCACAUUGUCAUUAUAAGGAUAGUGGGAAACACAAGCUUUUAGUAUCAGGUUCCAGCAGUGUGUCCACAGUAAACAAGGCAAUAAAGUUUGAGCUGGGAAAGAAUUGGAUUCUGUUUUAGCCAAUACUACUGUAGCUGUGUAUGCCUGCCUGCAACAGGCAAGAAAAACACAAACUGGUAUUAAACUGAGCAGGUAUGAACAGUAAAACAGAGAGGAAAGAGAAAAACAGGCAAGAUUGCCUAACUAGCUAUCCCCAGAAUGUUGAAGAAGAGGAAGAGGAAGAAGAGAAGCCUCCAAAUAGAAACCAUAAGUGGAAGCUGGUGAAGAAAUGAAAUCAUUCCUUGAUACAUUUUGGAAGAAUUCAAAACAGAAUUCAAAACGAUCUUAACAGAUUAGAGAGAUGGGCCAAAACUAACAAAAUGAAGUUCAACAAGGACAAAUGCAAGAUACUCCACUGAGACAGAAAAAAAUGAAAUGCAAAGAUACAGAAUGGGGG
ensembl:lncRNA